rnacentral:siRNA from 1 species
UGAAGUUUACUGCAGCUUGUGUCU